UCGAAGCCCACCGUUCCAAGGUAACCAAGUCACACGGCCUGUCCGUCGACGUCCCACGUUUCUUACCCACGAUCGAACCGUCAGAAGCCAACUCACGCACACCCAAUCUUCCCCACACUCGUACUUCUUCACAACCGCAGCCACCGCCGCCAAUCUCCUCUCCCACUCCGUUCUCCUCCCCAUGUCGCCGCAAAGAUCUCCGCUCCAAAUCUCGUUCCCCUUGCUACGGUGCAGAUCUCCUCCGUACUACAGUCCCCCAUGCCGUGGACACCGAACACCACCACCACAUCCUUGGCGGCUGUGUCGCUGCCCUUCUGCUGGUGGCAGCUCAACGCCUGCUUGCUACCGUAGGGGCACCGGCGGUUUUAUGCUGCUGCUGCUGAGUCGCCGUUGUGGUGCUGCCGACGAACCGCGAGCCGGUACACCGGCGUUAUCCCCUCCGCGUGGGCAGACCUGGACGGAAGGCAACGGAUCCGGCGCUCAGCGCCUUUCACCUCCAACGGCGCGGCCUCCUCGACUGAGCGGCGACGGCUCGACCUCCUCUGACUAGGUGUCAUGCGAGCUGGGUUUUUGCUGCUUGGAUCUCCACUCUACAGGUUGUGGGAAACCACUAAUGACAAUUUAUUUUGAGAUUGCCAUAUUCUUUCUACCUAACUUGUGUUCUGUAUAGACUGUACAAUGUUUCCUUUUCUGGAACUUUAGAGGCCUGAUCAAUUGAACAAGUAUAUUGGGGAGAGUGAAUCAGAAGUAAGGAAAAUAUGAACCUGUGCAAGCACUAACUCACCAUACAUCCUAUUUUUUUGAGGUAAAAUUUUUUGUUUAGCUGAUUGCGUGUGUGGAUUUAUUCUUUCGGGAAGACUUGGUAGUUACUUUGUACAAUUAUGAAUGUGUGGUACAUCUGUCAUGUGAUUUAUGAAUGCGCAACGCGUGGAAUUAAAUUGUUUGACCAUGCCUUCCUUGUUUAGGUAAAACUAAGUAGUUGUGGCAGCUUUGGAUGAGAGAACCCAAUUCCUGGUAAAUUGGACAUCAUCGAUGAGUUCGUCGAGUUUGAUUGAACUCUCACACUUUGAACAUGCUCUAUUUAAAGCAAGGCCAUCCGUGAUAAAUAGAGAUCUGAACAUGCUCGAGUUCGGUGGAUUUGAACCCAAUAUUCUGUAUGAAUGCUUUUAACAAUGCUUUGUCAGGCCGUUCCUGCCGAUGCUGCUGUUCAUGCCGUCCCCCCAGUGCUUAGCAUCACCGGCAACAAUUUCAGCGCUGUCCGACAAGGUGCUCUACAGGGACAACCUCCGUCGACCUGUCAUCGAACUUCACUGCUUUAGGUGGGAGCAGUGACUAGCAUUGACCAGGAGGAGCAAGAAGCACCGACAGCUACCAUUGCUGGCUGAGCUAGCUGCUAGCUUCGGUUACUUGCGACGGGUUGUAGGCUGCAAGUUAGAAGAAUCGACUCGGGGGAGAAGAUGCUUCAUGCUGAUGGUAUAUAAGCUUGGCAUAGGUAUGGACUUCAAUGUCAGGUUUUGGUGAGUAGCCUGAGCUUCCUGUUCUCAUUCAGAAUGAAAAAAAAAAUCAAUUUCAGAGUUCCUUGCAGAAUUUAGAAGAUCAAUGCACUGUUGCAUUUUCACCUGUCGGCAUGUUUAAAAGACCAUUUUCUGAUGUUUUGAUGACCUGAUGUAUUGAUUCUUGAGGUGUGUGACCAACUGAUCAUGCAGUAUGUACUUUCAUCUGUUUCUAAAUAGAUGGUGCUUUUGUACAUAGUGAAGAAGCAUUGCAAGACUCCAUCAGAAAAUGGACCCGCGGUAGACUGCAUCCGCAUCGGAGCACGGGCGAUGCCUACAUUGGACAGCGGCAGAGUGUGCAAAGUCCGCGCUUCUGACGGUCCUUCACCACCGACUGCCGUGCUCUCUGCCAUCCUUCUUGCUCCUCCCCAUCUCUAUGCCACAGCUCGCAGGCUAGCCCAACCUUUGCUGCCUUCCUUUCUGCCUCACCUCCCUGGAACUAUCUGCACCGGCCUGACCUUCUUUUGUGAGCCAGGAACUUGGGCGCGGUUCAAUCUUUUUUUGUGGGCUCAGUUCAGUCUGUGGUGUGGUUCGGUUCAAUGAAAGAACGAAGAUGACUUGCGUGACCGCUCCUGUGUGAGAUAGAAAAUUGGUCUUGCAGUUUGGGCUUGCAGAGUUGCAGUUCAGUUAUGGUGUGGUUAAGUGGAGAGUAAAGGAUUCUCUCAAAUAAAAGUUGAGAGUAAAAGAAAGAAAAAGCAAAAGAGAGAGGAUAAGAAAUGUGUGCUAGAGAAAAAAUCCUUCCAUUUUUUUUACUCUCCACUGCACCUGGACUUUAAUUAGCUGUGGUUUGGGACUAUCCAAAUUUUGAAGUGUCAUUCCUCUCUCCUAUGUACAAUUUAGUGCUUCUGCCUACUUAUGUUAAGAUACAACUAUUUAGGAGUUUCUGCCAAGUAAAUAGAAGUGCGCUUUUCCUGUUGGGCAUUA